CCUACGGGAGGCUGCAGUGGGGAAUAUUGCACAAUGGGGGAAACCCUGAUGCAGCGACGCCGCGUGAGUGAAGAAGUAAUUCGGUAUGUAAAGCUCUAUCAGCAGGGAAGAAAAUGACGGUACCUGAGUAAGAAGCCCCGGCUAACUACGUGCCAGCAGCCGCGGUAAUACGUAGGGGGCAAGCGUUAUCCGGAUUUACUGGGUGUAAAGGGAGCGUAGACGGCAGUGCAAGUCUGGAGUGAAAGGCGGGGGCUCAACCCUCGGACUGCUCUGGAAACUGUACGGCUGGAGUGCAGGAGAGGUAAGUGGAAUUCCUGGUGUAGCGGUGAAAUGCGUAGAUAUUAGGAGGAACACCAGUGGCGAAGGCGGCUUACUGGACUGUAACUGACGUUGAGGCUCGAAAGCGUGGGGAGCAAACAGGAUUAGAUACCCGAGUAGUC
rnacentral:rRNA from 1 species